AUUGAACGCUGGCGGCAGGCUUAACACAUGCAAGUCGAACGAGUGGCGGACGGGUGAGUAAUGUCUGGGAAACUUCCCGUUGGAGGGGGAUAACUAGUGGAAACGGUCGCUAAUACCGCCUACCCUCGGAUGUACCCAGAUGGGAUGAGCGAGUAGGUGGGGUAAAGGCUCACAUGGGGGACGAUCCCUAGCGGGUCCGAGAGGAUGACCGGCAACAUGGGAACGGAGACAGGGUCCAGAAUCUUAGGGGAGGAAGCAGUGGGGAAUAUUGGACAAUGGGCGCAAGCUGGAUGCAGCCAUGCCGCGUGGAGGAAGAAGGCCUUCGGGUUGUAAAGUACUUUAAGCGGGGAGGCGGUACCCGCAGAAGAAGCACCGGCUAACUCCGUGCCAGCAGCCGCGGUAAUAC
rnacentral:rRNA from 1 species